rnacentral:rRNA from 1 species
ACGGAGGAUGCAAGCGUUAUCCGGAUUUAUUAGGUUUAAAGGGUGUGUAGGCGGAUGGAUAAGUCAGUGGUGAAAGCUAUCGGCUUAACUGGAGAAUUGCCAUUGAUACUGUAUGUCUUGAGUGUAGUUGAGGUAUGCGGAAUGUGUAAUGUAGCGGUGAAAUGCAUAGAUAUUACACAGAACACCGAUUGCGAAGGCAGCAUGCUAAGCCAAAACUGACGCUCAUGCACGAAAGCGUGGGGAUCAAACAG